GUUUUAGCCCGAGAUUGGCCUCCAUGUGUGGUCUAAGAGCUGCCAGCAGCUUCUAGGGUCUCCUUGCCUCCUUGCUCACGUCCUGCCGGAGGAGACAGUACAACUCUCCGUGGUCGUCCCUUAGAGGCCUUCGAGAAGCGGUUCUCCAUCUCAUUGGCUUGGAUGGGAUCUCAGCCUCUGCCGUCAUCCCUGAACGGACCCUAGGGGCCAUGAGAGAUGGCGUACGCCAGUGCACGGAUCCGUAAGUAGCGGCGAGGCUUGCUGGGACCCUGAGGGGCCUCUGGGAUACUGUCCUUCACCUUGCCUGAGGGCUAAGAGAAGGGGAGAAGUCAGACAGCAGAGUGAAACGUGAGCGUUCAAAAUACUGUCUGUAUUCGUGAGUGCUCAGCUGGAGGAUGUCUUUCAUCAUACUCUCCCCUCAGUUAUCGGCUCUGCUGGACCAAGGCUGACUCUCUACUAAGUCCGGCCUCUGGGCUCUGGCUUCUCGAGGUCGUCCUCCACAUUUACCUACAUUAUGUAAUUUUACUAAGUCCCAUCUUUAGUCCUACUCAGAGGCAGAAACUCUCAGAGAGGGUAAUUCAUCCGAGGUAAGGAGGGACUGAGCAGCGAAGAGAGGGUUCAGACACGCAUCUCUGCACUCGGAAGCCGAGAGAGCCUGGGAGCCGCACGUCGUAGCCGUAGUGAUGAGUAGGUUUGAACUGGGCACGAAACGAAUCCCCUCUGCCUUCCAGAUGAAACGGGUGAGUUCACAGAGGUCCCUGGGAGAGGCGG